rnacentral:lncRNA from 1 species
AUGACGACGCAUUCUCUUCCUUUUUUAGAGAACAGUCCUAGUCAAAAACUCCAGGUGGGAAAUGGAGUAAACAACAUUUUUGUGACACAGUCGCAGGACACCAGAAGGGAAGAAGAUGCCAAUCACAUACCAGUUUUAAAAGUGCCUUCGAGCAGAGUCUUGGAGGCAGGAGUGACUACUUUGCAAAAGACCCUGGUUCUGGAGAAACAGGCAGAGCUGGAUGAGGUGGAGAAGCGACUUGCCCUUAAACGGCUGGAUUUUAAAGCCUGCAUGGAGGCCCUAGCUCGGCGAAGGUCUGAACUUGAAAUAAAACUACAAGAGACUAAAGAAAAAGUAGUGAAAUUUGAGAAGUUCAUAGCUGAGAAUGAAGCAAAGCGACGCAGAGCGUUAAAGAGCUGUGAAGCUUCACGGGCGCAAAACAUUUUUAAAAAGCAGCAGAUAAAAGAUUUGACAGAACAGCUUAAAGGAUUCAGAGACAGGAGCCACGUUUUAAAGGAGAGAGUGGCAAAAUACAAAAUCUAUGAGGAUUAUUUGAUAAAAACACGAGAUUAUCUCCCCAGCAAUUACCUCGAUGACGGGUCUGAAUCUUUAGUCAUGCCUAUCAUUCGGCGUCAUGAGACCUUAUCCAUCACACACCAGGAGCUGCUGCAGCGUUUGCAACGUAUGGAGGUGGAGGUGGAGGAAGGCCAGCGACAGCUGCAGAAUAUGAAGAAGGAACACAGCGUAAAGAAACUGAUGGCCAAUAAAGAGCUGUCCGAACUGCAGAGUGAGUUAGAGACCCUCAAAGAGAAGAACAAGCAGGCAGAGUUUAACUUGCAGAUGGAGCAAGACUUAUCCAGAGAGAAGGUUACAGAAGUGGGAAGACUGCUUAUGGCCAUCAGCAACCUUGCAGAACAGUGUUACUUACCAGAAUACGGACCGCUGGAAAAGAUGAACGCGCUGACAAUGAUGAACAUGGUGAAGGAGUACAUUCUGGACAAGGCAGACACGGAGAGGAGAGCGAGGAGGAUGAUGGAGUUGGGGAGUUUGAUGACAAGCACAACCGCCGUGGCAAACAAAAGAGAGAGGGGGUCAAUGAGAAGCUUUGGAAGUAAAACACAAAUCAAAAGUUCAAGUAAAGUCAGCAGAAGGAGUGAGACAUUUGGUUGA